UACGGGGGGGGCAAGCGUUGUUCGGAAUUACUGGGCGUAAAGGGCUCGUAGGCGGCCAACUAAGUCCGACGUGAAAUCCCCAGGCUUAACCUGGGAACUGCGUCGGAUACUGGAUGGCUUGAAUUCGGGAGAGGGAUGCAGAAUUCCAGGUGUAGCGGUGAAAUGCGCAGAUAUCAGGAGGAACACCGAUGGCGAAGGCAGGUCUCUGGGCCGUAACUGACGCUGAGGAGCGAAAGCGUGGGGAGCGAACAGG
rnacentral:rRNA from 1 species